rnacentral:rRNA from 1 species
AACGAACGCUGGCGGCGUGCCUAACACAUGCAAGUCGUGCGAGAAAGUUCCUUCGGGAGCGAGUAAAGCGGCGCACGGGUGAGUAACACGUAGGUAACCUGCCCCCCAGUCUGGAACAACUAGAGGAAACUCUAGCUAAUGCCGGAUGAGACCACGAUCCCUUCGGGGGUUGCGGCCAAAGAUGGCCUCUACUUGUAAGCUAUCGCUGAGGGAUGGGCCUGCGGGCCAUUAGCUUGUUGGUGAGGUAACGGCUCACCAAGGCUGUGAUGGCUAGCUGGUCUGAGAGGAUGACCAGCCACACUGGGACUGAGACACGGCCCAGACUCCUACGGGAGGCAGCAGUGGGAAAUAUUGCGCAAAUGGGCGAAAAGGCCUGACGCAGCGACGCCGCGUGGGUGA